rnacentral:rRNA from 1 species
AGGGGGUGCAAGCGUUAUUCGGAGUUACUGGGCGUAAAGCGCACGUAGGUGGUUUAGCAAGUCUGGUGUGAAAUCCCCGGACUCAAUUCGGGAAGUGCAUUGGAUACUGCUAGACUAGAGUGUAGGAGGGGAGAGCGGAAUUCCUGGUGUAGAGGUGAAAUUCGUAGAUAUCAGGAGGAACAACGGAGGCGAAGGCGGCUCUCUAGACUACAACUGACACUCAGGUGCGAAAGCGUGGGGAGCAAACAGGAUUAGAUACCCUGGUAGUCCACGCCGUAAACGAUGAUCACUAGAUGUCGGGACACUACCGUCUCGGUGUCGUAGCUAACGCGUUAAGUGAUCCGCCUGGGAAGUACGGCCGCAAGGUUA